GGUCGUAAAUUUCAUAAAAAUCGGGGUUAGCAUUAACCUGGUAAUGGUUCACAAGUGGUAUAUGGCUCUGGUAAUAAUGGUAUAUCUAUUCAAAAUGGUCAAGGUAAUGUGUGCUGUGCUGUCCAGAAUCGUCUGCUACAACCGUUUAUAUAGUCCGGAAGUCCGCGGACACAGAAAGUGUGUCCGUUACUAUAACGAUAAGUGUGUCCGUAAAAUUAACGUAGCGAUUGGUUGUAAUUCUGAAUAUACAUAAUACCGGGUUCUGGAAACUAGGUUAUCUCUGUCCAUUCCGAUUGGUCCUUAAAACCGGAAGUUCCCACGGCAAUAAUAUGGAACAUGGCGCAAAAACAAAUAGAAAUACACAACUGUCGAGGGAAAAGGGGAGAUAUGGGCUUAUCAAGAAUAACCCUUAGUGGGAACGUACCCUGGUUACAAUAUAGACCCUUAACGUGAUUGAAUAAAACAGGUGAGCAAAAGGGACAAGCGAUAUACAGGUCAAACUAAAGCUGGGAUCAUGUCAAAGUACCCCCCUGGUCAAACAGUGAGAACGAACCCUGUCCUAUCAAUAUUUCCCAUAAACAAUAAUAUAAUACAUACAAUACAAUACAAUACGGCCGCGAUACCUGAAAUAUAAAGUGUUCAUAGGCAUAGUCCUUCCGUUCAUAAUAUAACAGUGCAGCUCAGAGUAACGGAACACGAAAAUGAAAGUGAAAGUAGAAAUGAACUCUCUGAGCAACACAAGAAAAGAAUGAAACAUGAUACAUAUAAACCUAUCAAUCCUUAACUCCUACCCUUAGGCAUAACACUACCCCCAACCCAGGGUUAAAAAGGGUUCGUCCUCGAACUAAAAAUAAGGACACCUACCUAAUAAAUACCUACUUAUCAAUCUACUAAAAAAAUAAAACCGGA
rnacentral:lncRNA from 1 species